rnacentral:lncRNA from 1 species
GUAUGAAUCCACUAUAAACAAACACAACUUACAAUACCACCAAACUAGAGCAACACACGUUCUUUUUGACCUCUUGUACUGUAAUUCCCAAAGUCCUCCUGGAUUGCGUGCUCCUGUACCAACUCCCGACUUUUGAUCUCGUCUAUCUCCAGUGGAUUCCUCGAGAACUUCCCGUUCUCCAACAACCGGAACUCCGGUCACUUUUUUCGAUCUUCAAUCUUUGACAGAUCCUCUGGAAGCUUUUGGUUUUGGUGUUUGAAUUUCAAGUUUUGAUGUUUUUCAGUCGCCAAAAUUAAUGAAAAAUGGAUUGUAUGUUUUUAAAGGAAAUGUUUUCUCACAAUGGACAAUCAAGGCUUUUUAGUGAAAUGGCACAAAUAUUUAUAUGUUGGACGUUUUGGGUAGUUUGAAUGUGUUAAAACUCUCGAAGAAUGAAAAUUAGGAUUUUAUGGGUAACACUGUCGCUCGAGCAACUGUUCAACGAAAAGCUAGCGACGGUCUUUCGCUUGAACGAGGGCUUGGCGAGAAGUUAGGAACAUCCGUUUUGUUUGUGUCGCUCGAAUAGUGUGCUGGUGAAGAUCAAGCGAAAGUGCGACGAUACUUCUUUCCUUGUUUCGAAGUUAAACCCUAACCUACCAAUUAUUUUUAUACAAAAUUACAUGACUCCUCGACUUUUAGACUAUUUCAAUUUGACCCUUUCUGUUCACAGAAUAGCUAAUUACAAUUAAAUCUAACAAACUUCCCUUUUGACAUUCUGCGACAAAACAUACAUUACAUCAAAAGUUACUAACAAUACUACCCAAAACUACAGACUCAAUUGCCUCUUGGUUUGCAUAUAUCAAACAUGUUUCCUGAAAUCACAACACAUAUCCAAUGUAAAAAAGCACGUGAAAUAGUAUCAUAGAUAAAAAGAGUUAAAGACAAUUAUAAAUAGAUGCACAAUCACAUUAACUAGAUUAAGAUACAAUAUUAAUGUAAGCCAAACAGCCAAAAACAACAUAUAUUAAUAUUGCCAAAACAUCAAAAACUUAAUCUAGAUAUGUGUGCCAAAUAAUCAUAAAAAAAUGUGUCAUCCAAUAUCACAAAUCGAAAUAUCCAAUAUCAACACUUCCACAGCCACUCCCCAUUUUGUCGCAAAUGAGAAAGGAAACCUUAUCAACUAUCAUCAGCAGCAUCGUCACCAUCAUCUGCAUUAUCUGAGUCAUCGUUAUCGUCGCCGUCACAGUCCCAAUGCUUGCGCAUCCACCUAAUGCCACGUUGAACAUAAGCUAUCGCUCCACGAAGUGUAGCGAACUCCGUGGUGUAAAGCUCUGAGGCAACUCUCAACUACGUGAUCUCGACCAUCAUACGAGCCUGCUGCUUGAUGAGCACUGAUGUUUGACCCAUAGGAGCAACUGAUGGAUCAAUGGGAAUCGAGGAAUUCCCAAGUAUAGAUUCAACUGAAGGAGGUGGAACAGAAGUAGAUGACGAUGGGAAAUCAGAAAGAAUAGAUGGCUGAGAAGUAGAAGCAGGAAUAUGUGAAGGACUAGUAGAAGAGGUAUCACAAAUGGGAUCAGCAGGCACUGCCAGGUCAGCUGGCUCUACUGACUCUGUAGGAGCGAAAGACAAAGGGACAUGUGAUCGACUCUGAGAUAUGGUAACCUGACCUAUAGGUCAACUGAUACAUCGUGAAACCCCGUCAAGAAAAGUGACUCCCAUGGAAAUAACAAGAUGAUGAAUCAAACAGGCAUAAAAGAGACCUAUCAUAUGACCUGGGACUCGAAACAUGCGCAAAAUGUGAUGACAGAUGAAUUUGGGCAAGUUAAUUGAGUCACCAUGUAAUAAGGCAUACAAAAACCUUGCCUUCUCCAUAGGCAAGGACGAAGUAUGUGAAACAGGCCAAGGAUUCGUGGACAUAAUCCUAAUGUGGAUUGUAGUAGGACCACCCCUAAAGGGCAGUUGAACAGUGUUGACCGAACAAGAGAGUCAGCCGGAAGGGUCUUAGCAAAAAGAUAGGGAAAAUGGGAUGAACAACUCGUGGAAUGUGCAAGGUGCUAGAGAAGACAUCGUUUGAAAUCCUAAUAGUCGUACCUAUAAGAAAACCCUAAACGAUGAUUCGCAUAUCUCAUGAAUAUUUGCAUAGAAUUCUUGAACUAGGAAACUAGACGGUGGAGAAAGGACCAUCAGCAGUGGCUCCCACCCUCGGGAAGUGAACAUGGCAGCCAAGUUGGGAGAGAGGUUGAAGAGAAUUACCUCACGCUCGAAAAGAACAAGGCAACAAGAGAACUGAGACUCGAAGACAUCGUGAGAAGUGGAUGAGAUGAAACUAGUCCUACUAUAGGAGGUCGAUCUACCGGAUGCCUGUGUAGAAGUCCGAGCUCGCUUAGGUAGUAUUUGACAUAAAAGGCAUGUGCAAAUGAUCAGAAGUAGAAACCAGUAUUAUAUAACCCUCGUAGACCACCUAAAACAUGAUAUGCAUAAACUAUGCAACAAAGUGCAACAACCCAUACAACGAUGCAAAACAGUUUAAGACACGUAAAACUAUAAACAAAGUGCAAAAACACUCAAAACGAUGCAAAAUAGUGUAAGGCACACAAAACUAU